UAAGAGCUUACCAAGGCGACGAUCGGUAGCUGGUCUGAGAGGACGAUCAGCCACACUGGGAUUGAGAACGGCCCAGACUCCUACGGGGGGCAGCAGUGAGGAAUUUUCCGCAAUGGACGAAAGUCUGACGGAGCAACGCCGCGUGCAGGAGGACGCUUUUCGGAGUGUAAACUGCUUUUCCCAGGGAAGAGAGCGGACGGUACCUGGGGAAGAAGCCCCGGCUAACUACGUGCCAGCAGCCGCGGUAAUACGUAGGGGGCGAGCGUUGUCCGGAGUUACUGGGCGUAAAGGGCAUGCAGGCGGUCGUACGCGUUUUGUGUGACAGCAAAUGGUUAUAAAAACCCGAGUAUGCGAAAGACGGUACGACUUGAGGGCUCGAGAGGGACACGGAAUUCCGGGUGGAGUGGUGAAAUG
rnacentral:rRNA from 1 species